rnacentral:rRNA from 1 species
AACGAACGCUGGCGGCAUGCCUAACACAUGCAAGUCGAACGAAGCCUUCGGGCUUAGUGGCGCACGGGUGCGUAACGCGUGGGAAUCUGCCUCUUGCUUCGGAAUAACAGUUAGAAAUGACUGCUAAUACCGGAUGAUGUCCCCCUGAGAGAUCUUGGGGACCAAAGAUUUAUCGGCAAGAGAUGAGCCCGCGUAGGAUUAGGUAGUUGGUGGGGUAAAGGCCUACCAAGCCGACGAUCCUUAGCUGGUCUGAGAGGAUGAUCAGCCACACUGGGACUGAGACACGGCCCAGACUCCUACGGGAGGCAGCAGUGGGGAAUAUUGGACAAUGGACGCAAGUCUGAUCCAGCAAUGCCGCGUGAGUGAUGAAGGCCUUAGGGUUGUAAAGCUCUUUUACCAGGGAUGAUAAUGACAGUACCUGGAGAAUAAGCUCCGGCUAACUCCGUGCCAGCCGCCGCUGUAAAAC